AUCUGCCAUCAGGUCUGGGACAACCACUGGAAACGGUGGCUAAUACCGGAUGUGCCCUUCGGGGUGAAAGGUUAACUGCCUGUUGAUGAGCUCGCGUCUGAUUAGCUAGUUGGUGUGGUAAGAGCGCACCAAGGCGACGAUCAGUAGCUGGUCUGAGAGGACGAUCAGCCACACUGGGACUGAGACACGGCCCAGACUCCUACGGGAGGCAGCAGUGGGGAAUUUUCCGCAAUGGGCGAAAGCCUGACGGAGCAAUACCGCGUGAGGGAGGAAGGCUCUUGGGUCGUAAACCUCUUUUCUCAGGGAAGAACACAAUGACGGUACCUGAGGAAUAAGCAUCGGCUAACUCCGUGCCAGCAGCCGCGGUAAUACGGAGGAUGCAAGCGUUAUCCGGAAUGAUUGGGCGUAAAGCGUCCGCAGGUGGCUAUGUAAGUCUGCUGUUAAAGAGUCUAGCUCAACUAGAUAAGAGCAGUGGAAACUACAAGGCUAGAGUGCGUUCGGGGCAGAGGGAAUUCCUGGUGUAGCGGUGAAAUGCGUAGAGAUCAGGAAGAACACCAGUGGCGAAGGCGCUCUGCUAGGCCGCAACUGACACUGAGGGACGAAAGCUAGGGGAGCGAAUGGGAUUA
rnacentral:rRNA from 1 species